rnacentral:rRNA from 1 species
GUACUUGGCCUCAUCAGUGGUUCUUGCUGGAAGCAAAAGUUGAGUGAUCAUGGGCGCCUUGGAUCAUCUGUCCCGUCUGUGUAACUUCACACAUACAAGGGAAGCCAUCAGGAUCAAGAAAAGGCGGCCACUGACGACGGUGAACAUCAAGGUGAAGAUGGACUGUGAUGGCUGCGAGAGGAGGGUCAAGAACGCCGUCAAAUCGAUUCGGGGUGUAACGACGGUGGUGGUGAAUCGCAAGAUCAACAAGGUGACGGUGACGGGGUAUGUGGAGCCUCGCAAGGUGCUGGCGAGGGUGAAGAGAACUGGGAAGACGACGGCGGAUAUGUGGCCGUACGUGCCCUACACGGUGGCCACCUACCCCUACGUCGGCGGCUCCUACGACAAGAAGGCGCCGGCGGGCCUGGUCCGCAACGUGCCGCAGGCCAUGGCCGACCCGGCCGCGCCGGAGGUCAAGUACAUGAACAUGUUCAACGACGAGGACGUUACCGCUUGCACCGUCAUGUGAUUCGAUCAUAUCAUAUUAGCAUCUGCACUCCGGCCAUCUGCACCCAGCCACGACGACAUGCCGAGAUUACUACUGUAGAUAUAUCGGUGUUCUCGCAGCGCUGGGGAAGAAUGAUACCAAGAAGAUGAGCUUGUGCAUGUACGGUACUGAUGGAUGAUGUACUCCAAAUUAAGAGCCAUAAUUCGGAACGAUGCCCAUGCUCAUCUACUACACCUGGGUGAACAGUCAAUUAAAAAUAAUAAUAGUAAAUUCAAAAAACAUCUACUUCUUUUAGAAAUCCAAGAUGCUCAUGUGCGCGGAAAAUUUCGGGGUGUUCGGACAUUUGAUGAGCGAACAAAAAAAAAAUCAGCUAUGAACAGUAUUCUUUUUCAAAGUUUCUUAGAGAGCUAAAUUGUUUUUGGCACGAGCUUCUCAGAUGUUCAAACACCAUAAAAUAUUGCAUGCAUGAGCAUCUUGGAUGCCUAAAUUUUUAGAUUUUAUUUUGAAUUUUUUACUAUUUUCUUCACGUCCGAGGUGUAGAUAAGCCUGAGUUACAACUUUAUAGUACGGCUUUAUGAUCUUCGAUAUAUACAUACCUGUCAGUCUCAAGCCUUCUCUUUUGUCCUACUUGGUCAUCGUUAUCUUUCUUUUUGCAAUGGGGGAAAGCAUGCAAAAUUGAAUCUUCCAACUCUUGAUUGUCAAAAAAGAUUGUUCCAAUUCAUUGUCAGCCUACAGUUCUGACCAUGCACCUGAAAGCAGGGGCAGACCCAGGAUUGGGCUAAGCCCCGGGCCCUAGGCCGCCUACAGUGCCCAUAAAACAUAUGCAUUACCAGAAAGGGUG